rnacentral:rRNA from 1 species
GAGGAAGUAAAAGUCGUAACAAGGUUUCCGUAGGUGAACCUGCGGAAGGAUCAUUAUUGAAUGAACUUGGUCAGGCUGUUGCUGGUCUCUUCGGGGGCAUGUGCACGCCUGGCACCAAAUUCUUUUACCACCUGUGCACCUUCUGUAGACUUCUGGGACAAAUCUCUCCGAGUUCAACAAACUCGGUUGAAGGGGUUGCUGCCGAAAGGUCAGCUUUCCUUUGCCCUGUCUCUGGUCUAUGUCUUUUUACAUUCACAACGUAUGUCAAAGAAUGUUAUGUUACAGGCUUCAUUGCCUUUAAAACCUAAUACAACUUUCAACAACGGAUCUCUUGGCUCUCGCAUCGAUGAAGAACGCAGCGAAAUGCGAUAAGUAAUGUGAAUUGCAGAAUUCAGUGAAUCAUCGAAUCUUUGAACGCACCUUGCGCUCCUUGGUAUUCCGAGGAGCAUGCCUGUUUGAGUAUCAUGAAAUUCUCAACCUUGAUCGUUGCUUUUUUGCAGCUGAUCAUGGUUGGAUUGUGGGAGGUUUUUGCAGGCUUCAACCAAAGUCUGCUCUCCUGAAAUGCAUUAGCAGAGUUGCAUGACCAGCAUUUAUUGGUGUGAUAAUUAUCUACGCCAUUUAGCUGUGAAAGCAGAUUUGCCUUCUAAUCAGUCUCUGAGACAAAACUUAUUCAUGACUUUUUGAUCUCAAAUCAGGUAGGACUACCCGCUGAACUUAAGCAUACUA